AUAUGGCCAGGCAAACAUAGGUCCAUGGCGGAUGCCUGUGGAGCUGUCAGGCGAUGAAGGACGCGACAAGCUGCGAGAAGCCCCGGGGAGGUGCACAUGACCAUUGAUCCGGGGAUGUCCGAAUGGGGUAACCCGCGGGGAGCGAUUCCCGCACCGCGGACGCUGAAUAAAAUAGGCGUGCGGAGCCACACUGGGUGAAGUGAACCAUCUAAGUAACCCGGGAAGAGAAAUCAACAGAGAUUCCGUAAGUAGCGGCGAGCGAAAGCGGAGGAGCCCAAACCGCCUCGAGCGGGGUUGUAGGACUGCGACAUGAAGGAGCCAAGGCUAGCGGAAGGGCAUGGGAAGGCCCGCCACAGAGCGUGAGAGCCGCGUACGCGAAAGCCGAAGCCAUCUAGCAGUAUCCUGAGUAGGGCGGGGCACGAGGAACCCUGUCCGAAUCCGGGUCGACCACGAUCCAAGGCUGAAUACUGAACAGCUACCGAUAGCGAACGAGUACCGUGAGGGAAAGGUGAAAAGAACCCCGGCGAGGGGAGUGAAAUAGAACCUGAAACCAUGGACCGGCAAGAUGUCACGGCCCGAGAGGGUGGUGGCGUGCCUUUUGUAGAAUGAGCCUGCGAGUCAUGUUAUGCGGCGAGGUUAAGGGACAGGAGUUCCGGAGCCGCAGCGAAAGCGAGUCUGAACAGGGCGGAUAUGAGUUGCAUGACAUGGACCCGAAGCCAAGGUGAUCUAUCCACGGGCAGGCUGAAGCAGGGGUAAGACCUUGUGGAGGGCCGAACAGUAAUCUGUUAAAAAAGGUAGUGAUGACCCGUGGAUCGGAGCGAAAGACUAAACAAACCUGGAGAUAGCUGGCUCUCCCCGAAAUGCCUUUAGGGACAGCCUCAGGGAAAGCUUGCGGAGGUAGAGCACUGGAUGGAUGCGGGGGAGUCAAAUCCUACCAAAUCCAAUCAAACUCCGAAUGCCGCAAGCCAGCCCCUGGGAGUGAGACUGCGUGCGACAAGGUUCGUAGUCAAGAGGGAAACAGCCCGGACCGCCGGUUAAGGUCCCGAAACCAUGCUGAGUGUGAAAUGAGGUGCGGAUGCACAGACAGCCAGGAGGUUGGCUCAGAAGCAGCCAUUCCUUAAAAGAGUGCGUAACAGCUCACUGGUCGAGCAUCCGCGCGCAGACAAUGUAGCGGGGCUAAGCAUGGUACCGAAACCGCGGAUUCACGGAUUAGUCCGUGACUGGUAGGGGAGCAUUCCGCAGGCCGGAGAAGGGAUACCCGCGAGGGGUCCUGGAGGAAGCGGAAGAGAGAAUGCAGGCAUAAGUAACGAAAAGACGGGUGGGAUCCCCGUCCGCCGAAAACCUAAGGUUUCCCGCGUAAAGGCAAUCUGCGCGGGGUAAGUCGGCCCCUAAGGCGAGGCGGAAACGCGUAGUCGAUGGGAAAUCGGUAAAGAGUCCGAUACUUCAUAAGUUUCUACGGAAUGACGCAUGAGGUGAAAUCCGGCCGGGCGACGGUAGUCCCGGUCCAAGCGGCAAUCUUUUGAGGGGAUGGUUAAAAUAAUUCCUGAGGAAAGCCGUGACGGCGAGAGGAGAGAAAGUCGAAUCGAAGCGGACGUAGUCAGGGUGCCGGGAAAUAAUUCCUAGGCCAGGCUUAUGGAACCGUACCGUAAACGGACACACGUAGGUGGGAUGAGAAAUCUAAGGCGCACGAGCGACCUCGCGUUAAGGAACUCGGCAAAAUGCACACGUAACUUCGGGAGAAGUGUGGCUCGCGUAGUCAAGUAUUGCGAGCGGCAGAAAGCAGGCCCAGGCGACUGUUUAUCAAAAACACAGCCAUCUGCGAACUGGCAACAGGACGUAUAGGUGGUGACACCUGCCCGGUGCCGGAAGGUUAAGGGGAGCGCUCAGGGGUAACCCGAAGGUGUGAACCGAAGCCCCGGUAAACGGCGGCCGUAACUAUAACGGUCCUAAGGUAGCGAAAUUCCUUGUCGGGUAAGUUCCGACCCGCACGAAUGGUGUAACGAUUCUGGGCGCUGUCUCAACGCGAGACUCGGUGAAAUUUAUGUGCCGGUAAAGAAGCCGGCUACCCAUAAUUAGACGGAAAGACCCCGUGAACCUUCACCGCAACCUAACGCUGGGAUCCUGUCUGACAUGUGUAGGAUAGCUGGGAGGCUUGGAGGCCUGGGCGUCAGCCUGGGCGGAGCCGGCGCGAAGGUCCCCUUGUCCCGGACGGAAAUCGGGAUGGCAAGUGUAAAGGCAUAAGGGGGCUUGACUGAGAGCGUGACAGCGCGAUCAGGUGCGAAAGCAGGUCUUAAUGAUCUGAUGGUGCUGAGUGGAAGGGCCAUCACUUAACGGACAAAAGGUACUCCGGGGAUAACAGGCUGAUUUUCCCCAAGAGUUCACAUCGACGGGAAAGUUUGGCACCUCGAUGUCGGCUCAUCGCAUCCUGGGGCUGGAGCAGGUCCCAAGGGUUUGGCUGUUCGCCAAUUAAAGCGGUACGUGAGCUGGGUUCAGAACGUCGCGAGACAGUUCGGUCCCUAUCUGUUAUGGGCGCAGGAUGAGUGAGAGGGUCUGCCUUUAGUACGAGAGGACCGAGGUGGACGGACCUCCGGUGUACCGGUUGUCACGCCAGUGGCAUGUGCCGGGUAGCCGAGUCCGGAACGGAUAACCGCUGAAAGCAUCUAAGCGGGAAGCCGGCCUCAAGACCGCUCAUCCCCGGGAGCACGGCUCCCCUGAAGACCCCCUGGAGACUACGGGGUUGAUAGGCCGCAGGUGCAGGUACGGCGACGUACACAGCCGAGCGGUACUAAUAGGUCGUGAGCCCUGGCCAUAUCCUC
rnacentral:rRNA from 1 species